UACGGGGGGGGCAAGCGUUGUUCGGAAUUACUGGGCGUAAAGGGCUCGUAGGCGGCCAACUAAGUCAGACGUGAAAUCCCUCGGCUUAACCGGGGAACUGCAUCUGAUACUGGAUGGCUUGAGUUCGGGAGAGGGAUGUGGAAUUCCAGGUGUAGCGGUGAAAUGCGUAGAUAUCUGGAGGAACACCGGUGGCGAAGGCGGCAUCCUGGACCGACACUGACGCUGAGGCACGAAAGCGUGGGGAGCAAACAGG
rnacentral:rRNA from 1 species